CUUAUGAGGCCCAAGACGCAUUAGUGUAUGAGAGGUGGCAGAGAAGUCUAUGAAGGCAACCUGACGCAGGAAGAGGGAACACAGCUCUGCGAACUCAGUAACCAAGUGAAGAGGCCUGAGAUGAACAGGGGACAGUAGGGGGCACCAAGGAAGACAGAAGAACAGCUUAUCCAGAUUUGAGGGAUACAGGAGAGGAAAUCCCACUCUCCCAUCCAUCAGCCUGAGAACGUGGGCCAGCUUCUUCCGCCUUUAUGAAACUUCCCUGAAUCUGUCCAGUGGUAGCGGGCACAGUCAUCUCACUGCACUGGUUGGCCGUGGCUCAGCGCUUCACUAUUCUAUUCUGCA